AGGGUUCGAUUCUGGCUCAGAGCGAACGCUGGCGGCAGGCCUAACACAUGCAAGUCGAGCGGCUGUAGCAAUACGGCAGCGGCAGACGGGAGAGUAACACGUGGGAACGCGCCCUUCGGUUCGGAAUAACUCAGGGAAACUUGGGCUAAUACCGAAUACGCCCUUACGGGGAAAGAUUUAUUGCCGAAGGAACGGCCCGCGUCCGAUUAGCUUGUUGGUGAGGUAACGGCUCACCAAGGCGACGAUCGGUAGCUGGUCUGAGAGGAUGACCAGCCUCACUGGGACUGAGACACGGCCCAGACUCCUACGGGAGGCAGCAGUGGGGAAUAUUGGACAAUGGGCGCAAGCCUGAUCCAGCCAUGCCGCGUGGGUGAUGAAGGCCCUAGGGUUGUAAAGCCCUUUCGGCGGGGAAGAUAAUGACGGUACCCGCAGAAGAAGCCCCGGCUAACUUCGUGCCAGCCGCAGC
rnacentral:rRNA from 1 species